UGAGCAUUAAUGGUCAAAAUGACUGCUAUGUCAUUGUGUGCUGCAGGAGAAAAGAAGGAAAAAAAGACAAUACCUGAACUGUUUGAACACUAUAACAUGUCAUUAAGCCACAAAUAGUGUAACUUUGGUUGUGAUUUUGCCCUAUAAGAGUGAAAGUGACUAAAGUGAUUAUAUUAAAGUGAAAUUUAUGCUGUGCUUUUGAUCUUGAUUUGUGAAAUCUUAUUUGCCUACUUUUUUAAAUAUUUAUUUCCAUACAGAUAGUGUGGCUUUGGUUAUGGUGUUCGUCCUGCCAGCACAGGGACCCACAACCCCUUGGAAGGUAAACAAAAUAAAUUACGGAAAGCUGUACAGCAUAUACUGUCUCUUCUGGAAGAGAUGAAAACUGAUGUGAAAGAUGUGAAAAAUAGGCUUGCGCAGAUGGAGUACCAAACCCAAGAAAAGGAGCUGACAUCUGCCACAAGGGUUACAGUUUCCCUUAAAAUCUUCAAAGGAUGUAGAACGUCUCGAGCUGGAUUUAAAGACAGAUCUAGGAAAACGAACACGAAUUGGAAUGCUAUUUGGCAAUGCGUGGGGGAUUCAGUUUAAAGCAUAUCGUCAGGGACAAACGGUCUCUGCUAUUUUCAAAUAAAUUAGCCCGGUCUUACAACUUCCAUGGUCUGAAGGGAAAGAAGGGACUCAAGAACCACCCCUUUCUUGUACAAACAGUUCAGGAUGCUGCAAGAAAAACUUGCCCUCAAGCUACUGAAGCAGAACUGCAGACGCAGAUCUCUAGCUGGUUAGCUGGUGCUAGGGAUUGAGAGAAUGGCAGAAGGGAAAGGGCACCUGAGCACAGACUGUUAAAGUCAGUAAAUAGUUCUGGGGUGGGGAAUGAAUUGGAGGACAAGUAAAGCUGUAC